AUGAGUAUUGCUGCUAAAUUUCAUCAGUGGUGCAUCCUCACACAUUUUUUCUUAGACAGGUUGUUGGCUGCCAUUCUUCAGUCCAGUGCAUCUGUUUCUUGGGCUCAAGCUCUUUUACCUGAUGAGAUUCUUUCACGUAUUCUACUGAUAGUUGGGAAGACAGAUAGUACUACAUUAAUUGAAAAGAUCAUUGACUUCCUAACAACUGUCAUUGAUAAUCGAGAUGUGAUUGCUAUGCUUAUCCAGCCCUUGCUUAAACUGGGUUUAGUUGACCGUGUUAUUGGGUUACUAACAAAUGAGAUUGAAAGACCACCGGAUGAGAAGCUAGACAGAAAGGGUUCUCUUGAUUUGAUCCUUCACUUCAUGGUAGAAUCAUCAGCCAUACACUGUGUUUCAAAGGCAAUGACAUCGAAUGACCGGCUGAUUAAAGUGCUAGUUAACAUGAUCAAGUCGCCUGAUAAACAAGCAAGCUGUUCCUAUUUUUUUGAUUGUCAGUUGCAAGCUAUUGCGCUUCGGUGGUGA
rnacentral:rRNA from 1 species